GAGAAAGUAGAGAACUGGUCAUAGUACGAUUCAAGGUCUGUCAGUGAACGUAUAGGUAGAUAACUGGUAAACGAUUAACCUUCCAACGGGAGUAUCGAUUAAAGCGUACCAGUCUCUUCAUUGUUCCGAGAUAACAGCGGUUAAGCGAAACGUUAACUACCAAGGCAGGCCGUCCAACGUUUCAUCGUACUAAAGUGCAACUCUAAUGUGCGACCGCAUACGUCAUUCGCAGCCAUCAAUUUUGCAUUGCGCCACUACCACUAACGCGUAGGUAAGAUAGGAGGAGACCAAGUAGUAUCAUAACGUCUCUACCUACGCAUGAUGUUGCGGUUUGGGAUAUGAUAUUGCGGGUGUUUACAAAGGCAUCCGCAUUAGCUUUCAAGAUAAUUGAAGAUAAUGACAAUAUGCGUUGAUACUAUAUUUAGAAGAGAUGACCUGGGGCCCACACGCAUAAUUGUCCUUGAUGAUUGAUUCGGUUCGCGUAAUGAUAACAUAGAUCAUAUUCGAUCUGGGUUCGUUAGAGAGACAUCUUGAAUUCACGAUCCGAAAUAUUAUUCGCGAAUUGACGAGAGAAUAAUCGAUGUUUAAUUACCCGUAUGUAUUAAAUUAUAAAUUUUCGAAAAUCUCUGGACUGCUUACGGAAUAGUUAAUUACAAGUUCGAUAGAUCUUCUGAUUACGCAGGGGAAUCAAUGGUUCGAGAUUGGUAAACAGUUUCCCUUGUGAAACCGAGUUACUUGCAAUUAACGUAACUUUGGUUAUUGUGAAUGAAUAUUAAUAUAAAAUAGAAAACGAGUUAAAAACUUUUUUGAAGAGGAAAAUCUCAACUAUGAUGACGACGACGUUAUAUAAGUAGAAUACGUAUGCAACUCGAUGCCUAGAAUGAAAUUAAAACUGUCCGACGAUUCUAAUCCCGUACGUCAUAUCCGGCAGUCAACGCGAUCUAUGCGUAAAAAUGAAUGUAGAAUAAAAGAAAGAAAGAAUGAAAAAAAGAAAAAAAAAGAAAGAAAAAAAGAAAAAGAAAAAGAACAAAAAGGAAAGCAGAAAAUAAACUAUACGGCUUAUUCGAACGAAAACAAAAUUUCGAAAAAAGUGAUAAAAUAAAUUAAUAUAAAAUAAAUAAAUGUUUCGACGAAAUAUUCGAAGAAGUCCGAAAUUGCUUAUAGUCCGAUUAAUUUACUACUCGUUAACGAGUUCCUUUUUACAUAUCCAAGUUGUAUAAUUAAUAAAGGUUAUAACAUUGAAAAAAAUUUUCUUUAAAUUAAUAUUACGAGAAAAAUUAUUAAUCGCAAAAUUCUCAUUAAGUACGGGCAUUAAAAAAUAAAGUAAUUACAAAACUAAUCGGUUUGUAUCUUUAAAAUAAAUAUAAGGCAAAUAUUAUUAAAAAAAAAAAAAAAAGAAAAAAAAGAAAAAAAAUAAAAAGAAAAAUUCUUUUCCCUAUUCGCAUAAUAUAUUUUCCUUGUAAAAUGAGUAUUAAACAAAAACACACGCACGCGCGUAUACAAAAC